rnacentral:rRNA from 1 species
CCUACGGGCGGCAGCAGUGAGGAAUAUUGGUCAAUGGCCGGAAGGCUGAACCAGCCAUGCCGCGUGAAGGUCAGUGCCCUAUGGGCGUUAAACUUCUUUUGUGCGGGAGCAAUAAUGGUCACGUGUGGCCAGACGAGAGUACCGUACGAAUAAGCAUCGGCUAACUCCGUGCCAGCAGCCGCGGUAAUACGGGGGAUGCAAGCGUUAUCCGGAUUUAUUGGGUUUAAAGGGUGCGUAGGCUGUGAGGUAAGUCAGCGGUGAAAUGCCCCCGCUCAACGGGGUGAAGUGCCAUUGAUACUGCCUGGCUGGAAUGCGGAUGCGGUAGGAGGAAUGUGUGGUGUAGCGGUGAAAUGCAUAGAUAUCACACAGAACACCGAUUGCGAAGGCAUCUCACGAAGCCGCGAUUGACGCUGAUGCACGAAAGCGUGGGUAUCAAACAGGAUUAGAUACCCGUGUAGUC